rnacentral:rRNA from 1 species
GUGGGGAAUCUUGCGCAAUGGGCGAAAGCCUGACGCAGCCAUGCCGCGUGAAUGAUGAAGGUCUUAGGAUUGUAAAAUUCUUUCACCGGGGACGAUAAUGACGGUACCCGGAGAAGAAGCCCCGGCUAACUUCGUGCCAGCAGCCGCGGUAAUACGAAGGGGGCUAGCGUUGCUCGGAAUUACUGGGGGUAAAGGGCGCGUAGGCGGACAGUUUAGUCAGAGGUGAAAGCCCAGGGCUCAACCUUGGAAUUGCCUUUGAUACUGGCUGUCUUGAGUACGGGAGAGGUGAGUGGAACUCCGAGUGUAGAGGUGAAAUUCGUAGAUAUUCGGAAGAACACCAGUGGCGAAGGCGACUCACUGGCCCAAUACUGACGCUGAGGCGCGAAAGCGUGGGGAGCAAACAGGAUUAGAAACCCGUGUAGUCC